GAUGAAGAACGUAGUGAAAUGCGAUAAGUAGUGUGAAUUGCAGAAUUCAGUGAAUCAUCGAAUCUUUGAACGCACAUUGCGCCCCUUGGUAUCCCGAGGGGCAUGCCUGUUCGAGCGUCAUUUCACCACUCAAGCCUGGCUUGGUGUUGGGCGACGUCCUCUUUGGGGACGCGCCUCGAAACGCUCGGCGGCGUGGCACCGGCUUUAAGCGUAGCAGAAUCUUUCGCUUUGGAAGUCGGGGCCCCGUCUGCCGGAAGACCUGCUCGCAAGGUUGACCUCGGAUCAGGCAGGGAUACCCGCUGAACUUAAGCAUAUCAAAAGCGGAGGA
rnacentral:misc_RNA from 1 species